rnacentral:lncRNA from 1 species
AGGCAAUAAAGCCGUGAUGAACCAAAGUAUAUUUUAAUUUAACCGGUAUAUUCUAAAUUGUAUGUCAAGCUAGCUUGGUGCCCCGAAGGGAAAUGGUCGUCACCUGGAGGCCAAACAAAAAAAUUUACUAGCACGAAUGCUGACUUGGUGCUCACAUGGUACAAAGGUAAACACAAUACUCUGAUUUUUUAAGGCAAGGACGGUGACUUAGUACGAGAUAUAGGUGCAUAUUCGUUUGCAAGCAAGAGAGCCAUCUUAAAUCAAAGUCACAAUCGCUCAGAGUGUGAUGAAACUAAACACUCUCAGUCAACCAUAUCGAACGCGUCCAGUGGUCCUAAUAGCAUGUAUAAGAAUGUAAAUACUGUCACUGAUACUGUUGGCCUGGUUAAAAGUAAACUAGAUAAACAGAAUAGUAUUCAUCACCGCUUGGCUCCUGUACUGAUUAACAGAACAGAUCGCAUUGAGUAAUAAUUGUGGUUGUAGCUGCAGAGUUUUGGCCGCCGAACUUGAAGGGGUAAAAUUGGAAUUAGUUAGGGACCGG